ACGCCGCGUGAGUGAUGAAGGCCUUCGGGUUGUAAAGCUCUGUCUUCAGGGACGAUAAUGACGGUACCUGAGGAGGAAGCCACGGCUAACUACGUGCCAGCAGCCGCGGUAAUACGUAGGUGGCAAGCGUUGUCCGGAUUUACUGGGCGUAAAGGGAGCGUAGGCGGAUACUUAAGUGGGAUGUGAAAUACCUGGGCUUAACUUGGGUGCUGCAUUCCAAACUGGGUGUCUAGAGUGUUGGAGAGGAAAGUGGAAUUCCUAGUGUAGCGGUGAAAUGCGUAGAGAUUAGGAAGAACACCAGUGGCGAAGGCGACUUUCUGGACAAUAACUGACGCUGAGGCUCGAAAGCGUGGGGAGCAAACAGGAUUAGAUACCCUGGUAGUCCACGCCGUAAACGAUGGGUACUAGGUGUAGGGGGUAUCGACUCCCUCUGUGCCGCCGUUAACACAAUAAGUACCCCGCCUGGGGAGUACGGUCGCAAGAUUAAAACUCAAU
rnacentral:rRNA from 1 species